UCUGAUUGAACGCUGUCGAAAUGCUUGACACAUGCUAAUCGAACGUUUAGUUUAAUAAGGCGUAAGCUUCUAUUUUAUUAAAAGUGGUGUACAGGUGAGUAUAGACCCCGAGCCGGCCUUAAAGAGGGGGAAAAAUCCCCCAUAACAAAAAAAAGGGUAAUUAUGCCGCUUUAAGAGGACAUAGGGUGGUCGCCGAGAUAGGUUGUUGUUAAGGUUACUGCUUAACAAGCCUAAAUUCUCGUAGUCGAAGCUGAAAAGUUGAUCGACCACAUUGGGGACGAAAAAAUCCCAAGGCAAGCGAGUACAGCAGUGAGGGAUCUUGGUCAAUGGCCUAACGGCUGAACUGGCAACUUCGGAGAACGGAGAAGAUUUACUGAUAUAAAAGUAUGUUCUUACUCUAAAUCGGUUUGUCGAAUAAAGUUCUAACUGCAUAUUGAUUAUGACGAUAUGCAUAUUUAUGCCUUGACUAAUUACGUGCCAGCAGUCGCGGUAAUACGUAAGAGGCUAGUGUUAUUCAUCUUAAAUAGGUUUAAAGGGUACGUAGACGGUAGUAAAUGUCCUAACAGGAUACAUCUCUACUAGAGUUUUAUGUGAGGAGAGUCGUACUUAUGGUGUAGAGAUGAAAUUUGUUGAUACCAUAGGGACUGGUAAAGGCGAAGGCAACCUCUUAUGUAAAAACUGACGUUCAGGGACGAAGGCACAGAGAACGAACAGGAUUAGGUACCCCAGUAGUCUUUGCAGAGAAUGAUGAAUGCCAUAAAUUAGGUAAUAUUACUUGGUUUAUAAAUGAAAGUGUAAGCAUUUCACCUCAAGAGUAGUGUGGCAACGCAGGAACUGAAAUCACUAGACCGUUUCUGACCCCAGCAGUGAAGUAUGUUAUUUAAUUCGGUGAUCCACGAAAAACCUUACCACAAUUUGAAUGUUAUUAAAGUUAGUCGUUUAAGCUUCUAAUUUUAAUAAUACAAGUGUUGCACGGCUGUUUUCAGUUAAUGUUAUGAAACUGCGGUUCCGACCGUGUAAUUAACGAAUACCCCGGCUUUAUUUACAAUAAAUUAAUAGAGCACUUUCUGCCCCUCUACAAUGGUAAGAACAAAAGGGAAUAAGACAAGUCAUCAUGGCCUGAAUAUUGUGGGCUAUAGACGUGCCACAUAUUCCUACACAAAGAGAAGCAAAAAUGCGAGUUUAAGCUAAUCUCAAAAAAUAGGAUAGAAUUCGGAAAUGGAUUGCAGUCUGAAAUUCGGCUGCAUGAAUAAGAAAUUGCUAGUAAUCGUGAAUCACCAUGUCACGGUGAAUAUAACUUCGGAUUGGUACUAACCACUCGUCGCAUGCUGAAAGGAGUUAGCGCAAUAAGUUUGCUCUCUUAUUAUAAUUAAGUAAACGAUAUGGUUUAGAUGUUAUAGUAGGAUUCUUCGUAUGCGCGAUUCUGAUUAGUGUUAAGUCGAAAUACGGUU
rnacentral:rRNA from 2 species